rnacentral:rRNA from 1 species
UUAGGCUGAGUGGCACACUCGGCUCGAGACGGAAAGUUGUCCAAACUUGGUCAUUUAGAGGAAGUAAAAGUCGUAACAAGGUUUCCGUAGCUCAAGUACGGGACAGCGUGGUCGCAAGASCGCGUUGAUCCUUCCGCGUAACACUUGCCGAAGCCUUAGCAGCCUGAAAGGGUGCAGCUCCACGACGAUAAAUAAGAAGCUGAUUAAAUGCUAGUCCACGCUGUAAAACGCGUGGGCGACACUAUCAAAUUGCGGGAACACCCUAAAGACCUCAACACCAAGCGAUCGUGGGAAACCACGUCGUGGCCGAGCUAACUGCCCUGGGUAUGGUAAAAGUUUGAGGUAUGACACUCCUUCGGGGGUGGAAAUGGGCAAUCUGCAGCCAAGUCCUAAAGCGCUCCCGGGCGUCAUGGAUGCUGUUCACAGGCCAAAUGGUAGUGGGUGACCCUUAGGGGUUGCUUAAGAUAUGGUCGGGCCCUUCCAGAAAUGUUAGGGGUAAGUUUACGCAGGCGCGCCGUCAAAAGCACGCCUGUCCAAGUUGGAUUGGGAAUCAAGAGGCGGUAGGGAGCUCUCAUCGGCCUUCAACCCCUCGCGAUGACCAUCUGGCGAACAACCGUUCCGUAGGUGAACCUGCGGAAGGAUCAUUA